rnacentral:rRNA from 1 species
GACGAACGCUGGCGGCGUGCUUAACACAUGCAAGUCGAACGGAGUGGCGGACGGGUGAGUAACGCGGAGGCAAUCUGCCCCUCAGUGGGGGACACCCAGCCGAAAGGUGGCAAUACGAACUGGUCGGAGGGUUGAGCCUGCGUCCGAUUUGCUAGUUGGUAGGUGACGGCCUACCAAGGCGACGAUCGGUAGCUGGUCUGAGAGGAAGAUCAGCCACACUGGAACUGAGACACGGGCCAGACUACUACGGGAGGCAGCCGUGGGGAAUUUUCCGCCAUGGGCGGAAGCUGACGGAGCAACGCCGCGGGGGUGACGAAGGAUUUCGGACUGAAAGGCCCUUUCAGUCGGGACGCGGUACCGACAGAAGAAGCAUCGGCUAACUACGUGCCAGCAGCCGCGGUAAUUC